CAUGAUCGAAUGGCACAGCGGACUCAAUGGACCAAAUGGCUUAAUUCUGCUUCUAUACCUUGCAUCUUAUGGAUUUUGUUGAUUUGGAAGUCUGCUCUGGAGGAUGAAAUUGUUAAGACAACAUUGUCAUUGUCACAAGGUUCGUCGUAGACAGUGAAGCUGAUUUUGCUGUUUUGUUACUGCUUCUUGCAAACAUCAGAAUUGACUGGAUCAAAAGUCUACCAUGAAUUCCUGAUAUUGAACUGCCAAGGAUGUCCAAUGAUCAGAUUUUGAGGAUUUGUCUACUGUUGAAAGACAAUUUGAAUAAUGCAUUCAAACCUGCAAAAUCUGUUGAAUCUUCCUAUCUCUGAAUCAUGAAAAUGUGUUAGUUGCCAACAUAAACAUUUUUCUAAGAGUUAUGAAGUCUUCCUCUGGUUGAGUAAGGUUACAUUGAUCACAGUUAUUUGGUUUCUGAGCUGUUUGAGGUUUUUCAAAUGUAGAACGUUAUUGAUGUAUAAUUUUAAGAGUGAAGCAUACGUUUCUACUCAGAAAUGAGAAGUGUUGGUUUCUGAUGAUGUACAUUUAUAUCAUAUGGCAUUGGUCUAUGUAUUUUUAGAGAAUUCACAGCAUUUCUUUCAUUUUGAAUGGUGUUCUGCUGUACCAUAUAGUUCUCU